CAUGCAGUUGAAUUUUUAAAAGCUGUCCUUUAGCACUCCAAAACCCCAAAAGUUUUUACAUGAUUUGUCGUGUUUUCCUCUUUGGAUGACGGAGAUUAAGAGGACAACUGAAGAUUGACAACUCCCAGCUCGAGUCAAGAUAAACUCAUUUACGCACUGUUGUGUUUGCAGUCUGGAUAAUUGUCGACGACAGCCGCUGGAUGGCUGCGUGAGGUGCUGUGUUGCUUCUGAGCGGAGGUUUACAUAGCCACACACCGCUGAUGUUGAUCCCCCUCGGGUGCUGUGGUUCAACAACACAAACCAAUUUUGAAGCCGCAAAUCGACGUAGAAGUUCUGAAGUGAGGUCGAGCACAACACCCUUGUAGCAGUUUGGACACACUCAUAUGUCCGGUUUCACUCAUUUGUCUGAGCAGUCGUGUCUGGAGCUACGUUGGAAAAAGUGGAGUUUGAGUUGUUUCAGCCGGAUGUUUUGAACUGUUGCUGGCUUCCUGGAAGACCUUGGCGAUGGAGCUGCAGUUUGACAGAUGUGUCACUUUUUCCUAUACAGCGGCAGAAAAAAGUUUUGAAUUUAACACACUGUCAAAUAUUUACGUGAAACAAGUAAUGACUGCAUUAAACCAACACAAACAAAUUCAAAUGUCAUUCAUAUUACAUCAUUUAUAUCAAUUCCUAGUCCUGCCAUUAGCACACAGAGGAAUGCUGUCCGAAAACAUUUCCACCCCAAUGGGUGACAUCGACUCACCAAAAUAGAGUCACAGUCAGUAAAGAGCUGAGUUAGAAGAAAAACAAUCUUUGUUCCCUUCUUCACUCAUGGAUAUGAGUUGUUAUUGAGUGAACUAGAUCACAGUAACCAAGGUAGCCAAUGUGGUCAGGAUGCUACAGGAGGUGCUAUCACCAGCGUCCAAAGACACCGUGUGUAAAAUGAGAUUUCUGGACGAACCAUAAGACAUCAUUUCCAACAGUAUUGAACUUCAUUUGACACAUUUUCCCUCAACUCUUAUUAUUCAUCUUCAUCUAAAGAAUUUUUAGCUUCAUCAUUUAACGCGUAUUUCUCUGAAGGUCAAAUCUAUCUGUCAGAUUUGCUCAAUAUACUCCUUAUUUCUUUCCACCUCUUCCAGCGCAACUGUGAGUGAGAGGAAACAUGAUUCAUUUGCAACUCUCAAUGCCUGUUUUUUCAUAUUUAUAUCCAAGCUUGGUCGACAGUUUGUCAGCCUAUUAUCAGUUGCAACUGUGAGUUUCUAUUUUUGGGGUCAAAUCACAGGCAUGGGGUGGUGUGAAUUAAACAC